CCCUUAGAUGUUCUGGGCUGCACGCGCGCUACACUGAAGCUAUCAACACGUUUUCCCUCCCUGAGAAGGGCGGGUAACCUUUUGAAUCAGCUUCGUGGUAGGGAUCGGGGCUUGCAAUUGUUCCCCGUGAACCAGGAAUUCCUAGUAGACGCGAGUCAUAAGCUCGCAUCGAUUAAGUCCCUGCCCUUUGUACACACCGCCCGUCGCUACUACCGAUUGAACGUUUUAGUGAGGCAUUUGGACCGACGCAUCUCAGUUUAACCGCUGGUUUGUGUUGGAAAGACUUCCAAACUUAAGCGUUUAGAGGAAGUAAAAGUCGUAACA
rnacentral:rRNA from 1 species